GUGAUUGCAGCUCAGUGGUUGAGCACUUGCCUAGCAGGUAUGAGGUACUGGGUUCAAUCCUCAGCACCACA
rnacentral:tRNA from 1 species